rnacentral:rRNA from 1 species
AUGGGGGGCGGGCAUUCGAGGAGCGAGUCGAGGGAGGGGAGCGGGAACGGGCGGUACGCGCACUCCGCGUCCUUCCAGCAGCCGGCGGCGCCGCACUGGGGGCCGCCGGGGGCGGGAGGGUACCCGUACGGCGCCGGCCAGGACGCGCAGGGCGGGUACUACGGCGCGCCGCCGCAGCAGGGGGGCUACGCCGCGCCCUACCCGGCCUACCAGCCCGCGCCCGCCGCCGCGCAGCCGCCGCCCGCGCGGGCGGGAGGGGCCAACAAGCCACGCCUCGACCGGCGCUACUCGCGGAUCGCCGACGACUUCCGGUCCGUGGAGCAGGUUACUGAUGCUCUAGCUCAAGCUGGACUCGAGUCUUCGAAUCUCAUCGUGGGCAUUGAUUUCACAAAGAGCAAUGAAUGGACAGGAAAAUUCUCCUUCCAUGGCCGUAGUUUACAUCACAUCAGCAAUGUGCCAAAUCCUUAUGAACAAGGAAUCUCGAUUCUUGGACAGACAUUGUCUAAAUUUGAUGAAGAUAACUUGAUUCCCUGCUUCGGGUUUGGAGAUGCAUCUACACAUGACCAAGAUGUAUUCUGUUUUUACCCUGAUGAGAGACCUUGCAAUGGAUUCUCAGAAGCUCUUGAGCGAUACAGGGAGCUUGUUCCGCAUUUGCGCUUGGCUGGACCGACAUCUUUUGCACCAAUAAUUGAGAUGGCUAUGACCAUCGUGGAGCAAAGUGGUGGGCAGUACCAUGUUCUGCUGAUAAUUGCUGACGGACAGGUCACAAGGAGUGUAGAUACUGCAUCUGGGCAGCUGAGUUCCCAAGAGCAAAAGACUGUUGAUGCCAUUGUGAGGGCCAGUGAACUGCCGCUAUCUAUUGUGUUAGUAGGAGUUGGUGAUGGCCCAUGGGACAUGAUGAAGGAAUUUGAUGAUAACAUUCCUGCCCGGGCUUUUGAUAAUUUUCAAUUUGUGAACUUCUCGGAGAUAAUGUCCAAAAACAUGCCACAAUCAAGAAAAGAGGCAGCGUUUGCACUUUCAGCCUUGAUGGAGAUACCACAACAGUACAAAGCAACUGUGGAAUUAGGAAUAUUAGGUCGUCGCUCUAUGAAGGCUCCAGAAAGGGUUCCUCUGCCUCCUCCUGGUGGAAGCCAUGAUGCUUAUUCCUAUGGAACUAAAAGCUUUAGUAAACCUCAGCCUAGUACAUCUUCAUCAGCGUAUCCUCCCUAUGAAACUGCACAUAGUGCGGCCCCUGCUGCACCGUCUUCUGCUUAUGAUAAUCAGGUUUGCCCUAUCUGCCUUGUGAACCCGAAAGACAUGGCUUUUGGCUGUGGACACCAGACCUGCUGUGAAUGUGGACAGACUUUGGAGUCAUGCCCAAUCUGCCGGAGCCCAAUCACCACCAGAAUAAAGCUAUAUUAG